rnacentral:tmRNA from 1 species
GGGGCUGUAUUGGUUUUGACAGCAUAGAUCUUUGAGAGUGUAAGCAUGCAGUGCGUUGUGUAAUCAGCACUUUAAUCUGGAAUGCACAAACUUCAAAUGGCAAUACACAGUAUGCCAUGGCUGCCUAAUCAGUGAUUAAGUAGUCAUUAGGGCCGCCUGAGUGGGUCUUCCUGUUACCCGCUCCGCCGCCGACUCAAAACAAAAACGGGAUGCUGCCACCGAAGGCUGUGACGGUGGCUUAAGCCCAUUCAGCUAAGUCCUGCAUUGGUUUGUUUUUUUCCUGUGCAGGGCCGACAAAUAAUAAGAAAAUAAGCAUGUAGAAAGCUUUCGACGAAUGUGUUUGGACGGGGGUUCGACUCCCCCCAGCUCCACCA